AUUGAACGCUGGCGGCAGGCCUAACACAUGCAAGUCGAGCGGAUGAAGGGAGCUUGCUCCUGGAUUCAGCGGCGGACGGGUGAGUAAUGCCUAGGAAUCUGCCUGGUAGUGGGGGAUAACGUCCGGAAACGGGCGCUAAUACCGCAUACGUCCUGAGGGAGAAAGUGGGGGAUCUUCGGACCUCACGCUAUCAGAUGAGCCUAGGUCGGAUUAGCUAGUUGGUGGGGUAAAGGCCUACCAAGGCGACGAUCCGUAACUGGUCUGAGAGGAUGAUCAGUCACACUGGAACUGGGACACGGUCCAGACUACUACGGGAGGCAGCAGUGGGGAAUAUUAGACAAAGGGCGAAAGCCUGAUCCAGCCAUGCCGCGUGUGUGAAGAAGGUCUUCGGAUUGUAAAGCACUUGAAGUUGGGAGAAAGGGCAGUAAGUUAAUACCUUGCUGUUUUGACGUUACCAGCAGAAUAAGCACCGGCUAACUUCGUG
rnacentral:rRNA from 1 species